rnacentral:pre_miRNA from 13 species
UGGGGGAGGAAGUCUCUUCCUGUCACUGCAGACGGUCAGUAGUUGGUCUGGUGUGAGCAGCAAUUCUCAGAUCAUCUCUUGGCUAUGGAUGGUGGAGAGAGCACCGCACUGGCACUG